rnacentral:rRNA from 1 species
CAAUAAGCGGUGGAAAAGAAACAACAGGGAUUGCCCUAGUAACGGCGAGUGAAGCGGCAACAGCUCAAAUUUGAAAUCUGGCGCUUGCGCCCGAGUUGUAAUUUGCAGAGGAUGCUUCUUGCGCGGUGCCUUCCGAGUUCCCUGGAACGGGACGCCAUAGAGGGUGAGAGCCCCGUACGGUCGGUAACUAAGCUAUUGUGUAGCACCUUCGACGAGUCGAGUAGUUUGGGAAUGCUGCUCUAAAUGGGAGGUAAACUCCUUCUAAAGCUAAAUAUUGGCCAGAGACCGAUAGCGCACAAGUAGAGUGAUCGAAAGAUGAAAAGCACUUUGAAAAGAGAGUCAAAUAGCACGUGAAAUUGUUGAAAGGGAAGCGCUUGUGACCAGACUUGGGCCUGGUAGUUCAGCCGUCCUUCUGGGCGGUGCACUCUGCCGGUUCAGGCCAGCAUCAGUUGCUAGUCGGGGAGAAAGAUAGUGGGAACGUGGCUCUUCGGAGUGUUAUAGCCCACUAUUAUGCCCUUCCGGCGACUGAGGUUAGCGUUCUGCACGGAUGCUGGCGUAAUGGUCAUCAGCGACCCGUCUUGAAACACGGACCAAGGAGUCAUCCUAAUAUGCGAGUGUUUGGGUGUUAAACCCCUACGCGAAAUGAAAGUGAACGGAGGUGAGAGCUUCGGCGCAUCAUCGACCGAUCCUGAUGUUCUCGGAUGGAUUUGAGUAAGAGCAUAUUGGGCUGGACCCGAAAGAAGGUGAACUAUGCUUGGAUAGGGCAAAGCCAGAGGAAACUCUGGUGGAGGCUCGCAGCGGUUCUGACGUGCAAAUCGAUCGUCAAAUCUGAGCAUGGGGGCGAAAGACUAAUCGAACCUUCUAGUAUCUGGUUUCCGCCGAAGUUUCCCUCAGGAUAGCAGUGCUGAUCUCAGUUUUAUGAGGUAAAGCGAAUGAUUAGGGACUCGGGGGCGCUAUUUAGCCUUCAUCCAUUCUCAAACUUUAAAUAUGUAAGAAGCCUUUGUUGCUUUAGUGAACGAAGGCAUUAGAAUGUACAGCACUAGUGGGCCAUUUUUGGUAAGCAGAACUGGCGAUGCGGGAUGAACCGAUCGCGAGGUUAAGGUGCCGGAGUGGACGCUCAUCAGACACCACAAAAGGUGUCGUCACAUCUUGACAGCAGGACGGUGGGCAUGGAAGUCGGAAUCCGCUAAGGACUGUGUAACAACUCACCUGCCGAAUG